rnacentral:lncRNA from 1 species
CGGUCCUUUAUGUCAAGCACUAACAACAACCAAUGAAAGUUCUCUACAAGGUUAACAGGCAUUAGCACAUAGUCCACAAGAUCCCAUGCUUCAUUAGCAAGAAUUCUAUAGCCCAUAAUGUAUUCUCCAAUAUCAUCCUCGGCUUUAACGACAGAAUUCCUUUGAUCCAUUGGAGCAGUAGUGAACUUCUCGUAGAUACUUUCAAU